GUAGGUGGCAAGCGUUGUCCGGAAUUAUUGGGCGUAAAGCGCGCGCAGGCGGUUCUUUAAGUCUGAUGUGAAAGCCCACGGCUCAACCGUGGAGGGUCAUUGGAAACUGGAGAACUUGAGUAUAGAAGAGGAAAGCGGAAUUCCACGUGUAGCGGUGAAAUGCGUAGAGAUGUGGAGGAACACCAGUGGCGAAGGCGGCUUUCUGGUCUGUAACUGACGCUGAGGCGCGAAAGCGUGGGGAGCAAACAGGGAUUAGAUACCCUGGUAGUCCACGCCGUAAACGAUGAGUGCUAAGUGUUAGGGGGGUUUCCGCCCCCCUUAGUGCUGCAGCUAACGCAUUAAGCACUCCGCCUGGGGAUACGGCCGCAAGGCUG
rnacentral:rRNA from 1 species